rnacentral:rRNA from 1 species
UAACACCUGGAAACAGAUGCUAAUACCGGAUAACAACAAGAUGAUGCCUAUCAACUGUUUAAAAGAUGGUUCUGCUAUCACUCUUGGAUGGACCUGCGGUGCAUUAGCUAGUUGGUAGGGUAACGGCCUACCAAGGCGAUGAUGCAUAGCCGAGUUGAUAGACUGAUCGGCCACAUUGGGACUGAGACACGGCCCAAACUCCUACGGGAGGCAGCAGGA